rnacentral:rRNA from 1 species
GUGGGGAAUAUUGGACAAUGGGGGGAACCCUGAUCCAGCCAUGCCGCGUGUGUGAAGAAGGCCUUUUGGUUGUAAAGCACUUUAAGCGAGGAGGAGGCUACCGAGAUUAAUACUCUUGGAUAGUGGACGUUACUCGCAGAAUAAGCACCGGCUAACUCUGUGCCAGCAGCCGCGGUAAUACAGAGGGUGCAAGCGUUAAUCGGAUUUACUGGGCGUAAAGCGCGCGUAGGUGGCCAAUUAAGUCAAAUGUGAAAUCUCCGAGCUUAACUUGGGAAUUGCAUUCGAUACUGGUUGGCUAGAGUAUGGGAGAGGAUGGUAGAAUUCCAGGUGUAGCGGUGAAAUGCGUAGAGAUCUGGAGGAAUACCGAUGGCGAAGGCAGCCAUCUGGCCUAAUACUGACACUGAGGUGCGAAAGCAUGGGGAGCAAACAGGAUUAGAUACCCCGGUAGUCC